GCAUCAAUGGUGUAGUCGCUAUCAUACUUCCUUUGGGUGCAUUCUGCUGCUCUGGAAGUGGUCCUGGGUUCAAAUCCCAGUUGGUGCC
rnacentral:tRNA from 1 species